rnacentral:rRNA from 1 species
UGGCUCAUUAAAUCAGUUAUCGUUUAUUUGAUAGUACCUUACUACUUGGAUAACCGUGGUAAUUCUAGAGCUAAUACAUGCUGAAAACCCCAACUUACGAAGGGGUGUAUUUAUUAGAUAAAAAACCAACGCCCUUCGGGGCUUCUUGGUGAUUCAUGAUAACUUUACGGAUCGCAUGGCCUUGCGCCGGCGACGGUUCAUUCAAAUUUCUGCCCUAUCAACUUUCGAUGGUAAGGUAUUGGCUUACCAUGGUUUCAACGGGUAACGGGGAAUUAGGGUUCGAUUCCGGAGAGGGAGCCUGAGAAACGGCUACCACAUCCAAGGAAGGCAGCAGGCGCGCAAAUUACCCAAUCCCGAUACGGGGAGGUAGUGACAAUAAAUACUGAUACAGGGCUCUUUUGGGUCUUGUAAUUGGAAUGAGUACAAUUUAAACCUCUUAACGAGGAACAAUUGGAGGGCAAGUCUGGUGCCAGCAGCCGCGGUAAUUCCAGCUCCAAUAGCGUAUAUUAAAGUUGUUGCAGUUAAAAAGCUCGUAGUUGAACCUUGGGCCUGGCUGGCAGGUCCGCCUCACCGCGUGUACUUGUCCGGCCGGGUCUUCCUUCUGGAGAACCUCAUGCCCUUCACUGGGCGUGUUGGGGACCAGGACUUUUACUUUGAAAAAAUUAGAGUGUUCAAAGCAGGCCUUUGCUCGAAUACGUUAGCAUGGAAUAAUAGAAUAGGACGUGCGGUCCUAUUUUGUUGGUUUCUAGGACCGCCGUAAUGAUUAAUAGGGACAGUCGGGGGCAUCAGUAUUCAAUUGUCAGAGGUGAAAUUCUUGGAUUUAUUGAAGACUAACUACUGCGAAAGCAUUUGCCAAGGAUGUUUUCAUUAAUCAGUGAACGAAAGUUAGGGGAUCGAAGACGAUCAGAUACCGUCGUAGUCUUAACCGUAAACUAUGCCGACUAGGGAUCGGGCGAUGUUCUUUUUCUGACUCGCUCGGCACCUUACGAGAAAUCA